rnacentral:rRNA from 1 species
UUAAAAAAGCUCUUUGAAAAGUAGAUAAACGAAGGUUAAAAAAUCAAAGGAACUAAGGGCGCACAGUGGAUGCCUUGGCACUAAGAGCCGAUGAAGGACGCAA